GACUGAACGCGUGGCGGCGUGCUUAACACAUGCAAGUCGAACGGGGAACCUUUAUUGAAGCUUCGGCAGAUUUAGAUUGUUUCUAGUGGCGGACGGGUGAGUAACGCGUGGGUAACCUGCCUUAUACAGGGGGAUAACAGUCAGAAAUGACUGCUAAUACCGCAUAAGACCACAGCACCGCAUGGUGCAGGGGUAAAAACUCCGGUGGUAUGAGAUGGAUCCGCGUCUGAUUAGCUAGUUGGUAAGGUAAUGGCUUACCAAGGCAACGAUCAGUAGCCGACCUGAGAGGGUGACCGGCCACAUUGGGACUGAGACACGGCCCAA
rnacentral:rRNA from 1 species